rnacentral:rRNA from 1 species
GAUGAACGCUGGCGGCGUGCCUAACACAUGCAAGUCGAACGGAGUCCAGCCUUUAAGACCUUCGGGUCAAAGAGGGGAAGACUGAGUGGCGGACGGGUGAGUAACACGUGGGCAACCUGGCUCAUAGAGGGGGAUAACAGAGAGAAAUUUCUGCUAAUACCGCAUAAGCACACACUGCCGCAUGGCAGAGGGUGAAAAGAGAAUCGCUAUGAGAUGGACCCGCGUCUGAUUAGCCAGUUGGCAGGGUAAGAGCCUACCAAAGCGACGAUCAGUAGCCGAUCUGAGAGGAUGAACGGCCACAUUGGGUCUGAGACACGGCCCAAACUCCUACGGGAGGCAGCAGUGGGGGAUAUUGCACAAUGGGGGGAACCCUGAUGCAGCGACGCCGCGUGAGUGAAGAAGUAUUUCGGUAUGUAAAGCUCUAUCAGCAGGGAAGAUAAUGACAGUACCUGAAUAAGAAGCCCCGGCUAACUACGUG